GCUAUCUUGUAAGUUUGCAAGGGAAGUAAAACCUCAAGGUCGGGACAGUUCUGAACAUCUGUAAGAUCAUAUAAUUUACUUGUAAUUUAUAAAUUAUUUGCAGGACCUAUAAAGUGAAGAUUUUUCUUUAAGUGAAGCCAGGACCACUCAGGGCACAUUUUCCCUUGUGCAUCUGGUCCCCCCCACCCCUAGCUGUUCGAGAUACAAGAAAUAGAUGACACAGAGAAAUCGGCACAAUCCAUUUUUUAAACAAUGACCUAUUUUUGAAAAGAUAAUAACAAAGCCACAUGAGGCAGAAUUUUCUAAUCAUCCAAAAUUACUUGGUUCUAAAUAUUCUUACCACCUCGUCUCAGUAAUGUAUACAUCAAGAAUCAAAACGGUCCAGGAAGCAUCUGGACCAAAUAAUAAAACUUUGGUCUAUCCAUUCUGGCACAAAACAGAAACUAAAGAAGUGAGCCAGAAACUUCCACAUUUUGCUUCUGAGACAUAUGCGUCUUCUAUCCAUCGUAUGUUUGUUUGCUACCCGGAGCAAGAAGAGAACAGUGCCUGACACUCCGACCACAAAGUCUAAAGGACUGAGCAUCUCUCUUACCCCGUGGACCAGGAUCAGAUCUCACUCUGGGUUCUGGGCAGUGCCGAAGAUUUACUUGCUGUUUAUCAGGCUCCAGGUGGCAAGCCCGCGGCAAGGGGGUGCACACACGGGAAAACCAGACACCUGGGAAAAACCAGCGUCUUGUGAGCACCGGCUCUGUACCAGACACCG